rnacentral:rRNA from 1 species
AGUGAACGCUGGCGGUAGGCCUAACACAUGCAAGUCGAACGGCAGCACAGUAAGAGCUUGCUCUUACGGGUGGCGAGUGGCGGACGGGUGAGGAAUACAUCGGAAUCUACUUUUUCGUGGGGGAUAACGUAGGGAAACUUACGCUAAUACCGCAUACGACCUACGGGUGAAAGCAGGGGAUCUUCGGACCUUGCGCGAUUGAAUGAGCCGAUGUCGGAUUAGCUAGUUGGCGGGGUAAAGGCCCACCAAGGCGACGAUCCGUAGCUGGUCUGAGAGGAUGAUCGGCCACACUGAACCGGGAAACGGUCCCAGCCUCCAACGGGAGGCAGCAGUGGGAAAUAUUGGACAAUGGGGCAAGCCUGAUCCAGCCAUACCGCGUGGGUGAAGAAGGCCUUCGGGUUGUAAAGCCCUUUUGUUGGGAAAGAAAAGCAGCAGGUUAAUACCCCGCUGUUCUGACGGUACCCAAAGAAUAAGCACCGGCUAACUUCGUG